AUGAGUUAUAAGCACAAUGGCACCACCCAUCUAAUGACUUGGGAGGGUUUACUCAAAGAGGAGGUUGGAAAUACUCAGUAGUAGAACUGCUUCAUUCAAUGCAACAACAAACUGAUGAUCUUAUUUUCUUCAAAAUAACCAAACAAACACAAAAAAAGAAAAACACAAAAUGCUCAUUGUAUUCUUUUGCAUUACUUUUAACUCUAUUCUGGUUUCAGGUUCCUCUCUCAGUGACAAGGUUUACAUGAGUCCAGCUGACAUAAUCAAACAACCUGAAGAAACAGCCACAAUCAAAUGCUCACACAGUAUUGACAGCUAUGAUCGAAUCCUCUGGUACAAGCAAACGAAGGACGGUCGACUACAGUUCCUGGGAUACAUGUUUAAAGAAAAUCAAAACCUAGAGUCUUCUAUUGUAGAUGUGAAGAUGGAUGGGAAUGCAGAUAAAGACCAGACCUGCACAUUAACAGUUGAAGGACUGAGCCAGAACAGCAGUGCAGUGUACUUCUGUGCUGCUAGGUUACACAGUGCUUCAUAUCUCUGCUGCUCAGUACAAAAACCUCCUCAGCACACAUUGUUUAAUCUCCACGUUGAAGCUCACAGCCCCUUGCACCUGUGUUCCUUCCUCUCAUUAGGUGGCAGACAAGAUGGUUAUAAUGGGAAGACGAUGAGGAAGUAUUAGACACCACCUAAUGACUUCCUGUUUAUUUGCUGAUAAUAACAAUAUUUGCUCAAAGUGGAGGUUGGAAAGACUCAGUAGAAAACACAAUGAUCCCCAGCAACAAGAUUAUGAUCUUAUAUUCUUCAAUAUAACCAAAGAACUCAAAAUAAUCAUCUUAUUCCUAAGCAUUAUUUUUUAACAUAUCUGGUUUCAGGUAACGUCAUCAAAAUUAUUUCAAAUUUAGAAUUUUCCACAAAAUCUGUUGAUAUAUUUGCUUGUGUACAACAGCCAGUUUAUACUGCUGCUAUUUCAGAUGUUACUGGUUUUAUGUUAUUCAGUUUACUGGUGUUUAUGCUAUUUUGUCUGAUGCUCUGUUGAUCCUUUUUCCACAGGCUCCUCUCUCAGUGACCAAGUCGACCAGACUCCA